GAUGAACGCUGGCGGCGUGCCUAAUACAUGCAAGUCGAGCGAACGGACGAGAAGCUUGCUUUUCUGACGUUAGCGGCGGACGGGUGAGUAACACGUGGAUAACCUACCUAUAAGACUGGGAUAACUUCGGGAAACCGGAGCUAAUACCGGAUAAUAUUUUGAACCGCAUGGUUCAAAAGUGAAAGACGGUUUUGCUGUCACUUAUAGAUGGAUCCGCGCUGCAUUAGCUAGUUGGUAAGGUAACGGCUUACCAAGGCAACGAUGCGUAGCCGACCUGAGAGGGUGAUCGGCCACACUGGAACUGAGACACGGUCCAGACUCCUACGGGAGGCAGCAGUAGGGAAUCUUCCGCAAUGGGCGAAAGCCUGACGGAGCAACGCCGCGUGAGUGAUGAAGGUCUUCGGAUCGUAAAACUCUGUUAUUAGGGAAGAACAGAUGUGUAAGUAACUGUGCACGUCUUGACGGUACCUAAUCAGAAAGCCACGGCUAACUACGUG
rnacentral:rRNA from 1 species